rnacentral:rRNA from 1 species
UGGUCCCAAUCUUAAAAUCAGUUUUUACUCAAUUUAUACAUGCAAGUUUCCGCACCCCUGUGAGAACGCCCUUAUUUUCCUGUCAGGAACGAGGAGCCGGUAUCAGGCACAAUUUUUUAGCCCAAAACACCUAGUUUAACCACACCCACAAGGGAAUCCAGCAGUAAUCAACAUUGAGCAUAAGCGACAGCUUGACUCAGUUAGAGUGAACAGGGCUGGCAAAUCCGGUGCCAGCCGCCGCGGCUAUACCGCGAGGCCCAAAUUGAUUUUUUCCGGCGUAAAGCGUGAUUAAAGUUACUAGCACAAUUAUAGUCGUACCAGAACUAAGCCGUAACACGCUUGUACCUGAGAAGAACAAAAACGAAAGUUACUAUAUGCCACCCCCACUUGAAUCCACGACAGCUGGGAAACAAACUGGGAUUAGAUACCCCACUAUGCCCAGCCGUAAACUUUUAAUUACAUCCGUAUCGCCAGGGAACU